UAGGAUCUUCCACAAUGGACGAAAGUCUGAUGGAGCAACGCCGCGUGAGUGAAGAAGGGUUUCGGCUCGUAAAACUCUGUUGUUAAAGAAGAACAUAUCUGAGAGUAACUGUUCAGGUAUUGACGGUAUUUAACCAGAAAGCCACGGCUAACUACGUGCCAG
rnacentral:rRNA from 1 species